rnacentral:lncRNA from 13 species
AUAAGAUUUAGCAGGGAAUUAACAACAAUACAGCAAUACACACUCUCUCAUUCAAACCACCUUGAAGGCAUUUUCCAACAUACCGCAGAGAGACAGAAGAGGAGAAUCAUGCUGAAUAUCUUCUAAAGUUUUUUCAAUAUUGAUUGAAAAAUUCGAUUUUUCAGGAAUUGUGAACUAAAGUAUAUCAUGGAAAGGAUAAUUUAAAAGUUAAAUUAAACUGUGUUUAUUUUUAGAAAUUGUACCACCAGGUCUUAAUCUUGAUAGAAAGAACCAGGUCAGCAAUAUAAUAACACAAUUUUUGAAAUAUUGAUGUCAGUUAAUAUCAUUCUAGGUGCUGUUGGAAACAUACCGAAGAUGGAGUUACAAAUUAUAGAACACAUCAGUGGCCUUGGAAGGUUUCUGUGUGGUUUUAUUAUUGAAUUAGCCUGUUCUUGCCUGAGAGACCUCAGCUAUGCUUCCUGUACAGCCUGCGGAACUGUCAAGGUGGAAGGCGAGGGGAAGCAGGCACAUUUGUGAGGAAGUCCACAUGACCACGUGGAGCAGAAGCACAGCCACCGUUGACAGUCCCUGAUCAACUCCCAGCCAGCAGCCAGCAGCCAGCAGCCCGUUCCAGCCAUGGACUCCGACAGCCAUUUUGAAACCUCCCAUCCUGACCAACCACCAGCUAAAUGCAGCUAAGUAAACCAUCCCUGUGGACACCAUCUGGAGAAGCAGAAUGGCGCCACUGAGCCUGAAUUUCUAGUCUCAGAGUCAUGAACAAAUCAUAUAGCUUGUAUUUAAGCCAGUAAAAUUUGGGGUACUUUGUUAUGCA